rnacentral:rRNA from 1 species
GUUUGAUUCUGGCUCGAAUUGAGCGCUGGUGGGAUGCUUUACACAUGCAAGUCGAACGGCAGCACGGACUUCGGUCUGGUGGCGAGUGGCGAACGGGUGAGUAAUGUAUCGGAACGUGCCUAGUAGCAGAGGAUAACUACGCGAAAGCGUAGCUAAUACCGCAUGCGCCCUUCGAGGAAAGCGGGGACCUUCGGGCCUCGCACUAAUGGAAGCGGCCGAUAUCAGUUAGCUAGUUGGUGGGGUAACGGCUCACCAAGGCGACGAUCCAUGUAAAGCUGGUUUGAGAGGACGACCAGCUACACACUGGGACUGAGACGGCCGGGCUCCUACAGGAGGCAGCAGUGAAAUUUUGGACAAUGGAAACCCUGAUCCAGCCAUCCCGCGUGUGCGAUGAAGGCCUUCGGGUUGUAAAGCACUUUUGGCAGGAAAAGAAACGGCACGGGAUAUUACCCGUGCAACUGACAGUACCUGCAGAAUUAAGCACCGGCUAACUACGUGCCAGCAGCCGCGGUAAUACGUAAGAUUGCAAACGUUAAUCGGAAUUACUGGGCGUAAAGCGUGCGCAGGCGGUUCGGAAAGAAAAGAUGUAAAAUCCCCGACUUAACUUUGGAACUGCAUUUUUAACUACCGAGCCUGAAGUGUGUCAGAGGAGGUGGAAUUCCCCGUAACGUCGUAGCAGUAAGAAAUGCGUAGAUAUGCGGGAGAGAACACGUGGCGACAGCCUCCUGGGAUAACACUGACGCUCAUGCACGAAAGCUGUGGGAGCAAAUAGAAAGUUAGAUACCCUGGUAGUCCACGCCCCCAGCGAUGUCAACUAAGCGUUGGGGCCUUCGGGCUGGUGGCACAACUAACGCGUGAAGUUGACCGCCUGGGGAGAGUACCGGUCUGGAAUUAAAACUCAAAGGAAUUGACGGGGACCCGCACAAAGCGGUGGAUGAUGUGGAUUAAUUCGAUGCAGCAUGAAAAACCUGCCUACCUUGACAUGUCUGGAAUCCCGAAGAUUUGGGAGUGCUGCAGAACCGAACUGGUGCUGCACGUGGCUGUCGUCAGCUCGUGUCGUGAGAUGUUGGAUUAGAAUCCCGCAACGAGCGCAACCCUUGUCAUUAGUUGCUACGAAAGGGCACUCUAAUGAGACUGCCGGUGACAAACCGGAGGAAGGUGGGGAUGACGUCGUCCUCAUGGCCCCUCAUAGGUAGGGCUUCACGUCAUACAAUGGUCGGGACAGAGGGUCGCCAACCCGCGAAGGGCCAAUCCCAGAAACCCGAUCGUAGUCCGGAUCGCAGUCUGCAACUCAGGCCAGUGAUAAGAAUCGCCAAUAAUCCGCGGAUCAACGCCGUCGCGAUGAGGCCAUUCCAGAUCGCGCACACACCUUGUCACCUGCAAGGAGUGGUUUACGAAGUGAUUACCUUCGUAAGGAGGGCGAUUACCAGUGGAUUACGGCGGGGUGAGUCUUCGCUUUAAAACUAAGCUAUAUUUUUACUGAUGCUCUAAAGGAGCAACCAUGAAAA